rnacentral:tRNA from 1 species
GCACUGAUGAGAUCGAUCGGUUUAUCGGUGGCAGGCUUCAAACCUGUCGGUCGUUAAUUCGGCAGUGGUUCGACUCCACCUUCGGUGC